rnacentral:rRNA from 1 species
AGAGUGAACGCUGGCGGCAGGCCUAACACAUGCAAGUCGAACGGCAGCACAGGGGAGCUUGCUCCCUGGGUGGCGAGUGGCGGACGGGUGAGGAAUACAUCGGAAUCUACCCAGUCGUGGGGGAUAACCUCGGGAAACCGGGACUAAUACCGCAUACGACCCACGGGUGAAAGCGGAGGACCGCAAGGCUUCGCGCGAUUGGAUGAGCCGAUGUCGGAUUAGCUUGUUGGCGGGGUAAUGGCCCACCAAGGCGACGAUCCGUAGCUGGUCUGAGAGGAUGAUCAGCCACACUGGAACUGAGACACGGUCCAGACUCCUACGGGAGGCAGCAGUGGGGAAUAGUUGGACAAGUGGGCGCAAGCCUGAUCCAGCCAUCGCCGCGUGAGUGAAGA